UACGUAGGGGGCGAGCGUUUGUCCGGAGUUACUGGGCGUAAAGCGCACGCAGGCGGUCUGUUAAGUUUGGAGUGACAGUUGGUGGCUUAACUGCCAAAGUGCUUCGAAACUGACAGACUUGAGGGCUUCAGAGGGACACGGAAUUCCGGGUGGAGUGGUGAAAUGCGUAGAGAUCCGGAGGAACACCAAAGGCGAAGGCAGUGUCCUGGGAGUACCUGACGCUCAGGUGCGGAAAGCCAG
rnacentral:rRNA from 1 species